GACUGACAGCAGCGAAAGGACAAUAGGAUCAACUUAAAUGCUGGGAAACAAACCUCUCACCUGUCUGGCAAGACCCAUAAAUCCAGAAAGUACAAUAAAGAACACCAAAGGGCCAGCAAAGAACCCUCUGGCCCAUCAGCAGGUCUCAUACAGUCUCAGCACCUCUGCCAUGCAGCAUCCACAGACAACAACUCUGCCUGUGGCUACA